rnacentral:piRNA from 1 species
UCCACAAUCACUAAGUUUGCUGUUCGAGCCU